rnacentral:lncRNA from 1 species
AUAAAACAAGCUAAGGUUCUUGAAUCUAAUAAUGCAAAGACUUUGUGAUUUUUAGGUCCUAAACACACAUCUAUUGUAAAAAAAGGUGAAGGAUUUGAAGAGAGAAUAGGACCUUUACUAGGUAUUGUACAUGAUUCCAACUGCUCGAUGUUAUAUUAUAUGUUAUGUGAAAAUAUUGUGUUUAUAUGUUUGAUAUACAAUUUACUAAGUAACAUAGUAAGAGUCAUAUUAGUAGAUUUUAAUUGAUUAUAGAAUGUAAUUAGAUUACUACUUUAAAAAGAUGUUGUUUAAAAGAACUACUUUUAUAAUUUACAUAACUUUAUUUUCUUUUGAUAGUGGCUUUUAAGAUUAAUUUUAGUUGAUAGUAAUUUUUACAUAUUUAAAGUUACCUUUAUUAGAUAUUGGUGAUCCUUGAAGUCUUAUUUUAUUUCUUUUAUUUGAUGUUUACGGCAUGUAUUAUAUCAAUCUUAUUAGAAAAAGGCUUGGAGAAGGGUCUUG